rnacentral:rRNA from 1 species
UACGAAGGGGGCUAGCGUUGCUCGGAAUCACUGGGCGUAAAGCGCACGUAGGCGGCUUUUUAAGUCAGGGGUGAAAUCCUGGAGCUCAACUCCAGAACUGCCUUUGAUACUGAGAAGCUUGAGUCCGGGAGAGGUGAGUGGAACUGCGAGUGUAGAGGUGAAAUUCGUAGAUAUUCGGAAGAACACCAGUGGCGAAGGCGACUCGCUGGACAAGUAUUGACGCUGAGGUGCGAAAGCGUGGGGAGCAAACAGG